rnacentral:rRNA from 1 species
AACAAACGCUGGCGGCGUGCCUAACACAUGCAAGUCGUACGAGAAAGUCGGCUUCGGCCGAUGAGUACAGUGGCGCACGGGUGAGUAGCGCGUGGGUAAUCUGCCCCCCGGUCAGGAAUAACCCGCCGAAAGGCGGGCUAAUACCCGAUAACACUGACGCUCCGCGGAGCGUCUUUCAAAGAAGGCCUCUGUUUACAAGCUUUCGCCGGAGGAUGAGCCCGCGUACCAUUAGCUAGUUGGCAGGGUAAUGGCCUACCAAGGCUACGAUGGUUAGCUGGUCUGAGAGGAUGGCCAGCCACACUGGAACUGAGACACGGUCCAGACUCCUACGGGAGGCAGCAGUGAGGAAUCUUGCGCAAUGGGGGAAACCCUGACGCAGCAACGCCGCGUGAGUGAGGAAGGCCUUCGGGUCGUAAAGCUCUGUCAGAUGGGAAGAAAUGGAUGGGGGCGUAAUAUCGCCCAUCCUUGACGGUACCAUCAGAGGAAGCACCGGCUAACUCCGUCG